rnacentral:ncRNA from 2 species
CCAAUAGCGUAUAUUAAAGUUGUUGCAGUUAAAAAGCUCGUAGUUGAAUUUCGGGAUCAAUAUAUCGGUCGUGCCAUUGGUACGUACUGGUAUCAUUGGUUUCUCCUUUCUGACGAACCAUGAUGUCAUUAAUUUGGUGUUAUGGGAAGUUAGGACUGUUACUUUGAAAAAAUUAGAGUGUUUAAAGCAGGCUUUAGCUUGAAUACAUUAGCAUGGAAUAAUGAAAUAGGACGUUCGAACCUAUUUUGUUGGUUUCUAGGAUCAACGUAAUGAUUAAUAGGGAUAGUUGGGGGCAUUAGUAUUCAAUUGUCAGAGGUGAAAUUCUUGGAUUUAUUGAAGACUAACUACUGCGAAAGCAUUUGCCAAGGAUGUUUUCAUUAAUCAAGAACGAAAGUUAGGGGAUCGAAGACGAUCAGAUACCGUCGUAGUCUUAACCAUAAACUAUGCCGACUAGGGAUCGGAUGAUGUUAAUUUUUUAAUGACUCAUUCGGCGCCUUACG